rnacentral:tRNA from 1 species
GGAGGAGUGGCCGAGUGGCUGAAGGCGGCGGUCUUGAAAACCGUUAAGUGUUAAAGCUUCGUGGGUUCGAAUCCUACCUCCUCCGCCA